rnacentral:lncRNA from 1 species
CUCAGUUAAAGUGAACAAGCAUAAAUUUGUGGCAGACUCAAUCAGUGCAGCUUUCUCUAGCAGCACUCUUCAGCCUAGCUAGGAAAUAUUUAGAAGUUCAAGGUCCAUGGGAAAUUUUAGGCAAUAAGUGAAGGCACUGCUGAGUCGGCUGACCAUGAAAACAAGCUAGACGGAAGAAAUAAAAUUGGAAGUUAACAGACAAGAAGAAAAAGAGCAGAGUCAGGGUUGUGAUGAGAAGAAAGACCAGGAUUAGUAUGAGAAAGAAAUGUAGAAUAGCUGACAUUAGAGAGAUUGUGGAAGAGGCAAGAUACUCAAAACUGGAGAUUCAUAGAUGAUGAGAUCCAAGGAUGGAGAGGAGUUGGGGAUCACUGGUGUCAAGGAGAGCCAUCACAGAACACUGUUUGACUUCUCCCAGCCUUUGAAAUCUUACUGUCUACAAGGAAUCUUACAAUACAAGGCUUCCUUACUCUGUGCCUGAACUCAGCACCCAAUCUAUGUAGCCCA